rnacentral:rRNA from 1 species
UUACGGCCACAUCAUGUUGAAACACCGGUUAAGGCACGAUCACUGAAGUUAAGCAAUGUCGAGUCUGGUCAGUACCUAGAUGGGUGACCGCUUGGUAAUACCAGGUGCUAU